GCAUAUCACUAAGCGGAGGAAAAGAAACUAACAAGGAUUCCCCUAGUAACUGCGAGUGAAGAGGGAAAAGCCCAGCACCGAAGGUAGUAUCCGUUUGGGUACCUACCAAUGUGGUGUUUUGGUCAGCUCGUAUGAGUGCGGCUCCAUCUCAAGUCCAGCAAUGAGUACGGUUUUUUGGACUUGGCCCAGAGUGGGUGAAAGGCCCGUUGAGGUGGAGAUCAGGUGUGACCGCGCUUGUCGAGUUUGACCAUGGAGUCGGGUUGUUUGUGAAUGCAGCCCUAAGUGGGUGGUAAACUCCAUCCAAGGCUAAAUACUUGCACGAGUCCGAUAGCGAACAAGUACCGUGAGGGAAAGUUGAAAAGUACUUUGAAGAGAGAGUAAACAGUGCGUGAAGCCGCAUAGAGGUUAAACGGGUAGAGUUAAGCUGCGUGGGUCAUGGAUUCAGCUGGUGAACUUGACUUGUGCUUGGGCACAUUGUAUCGUCUUCUGAGUCUGCUUAGCUGCAGGUUCCAGGUCCCCUGGGAUAUGCGACGCACUUACUGGGUGCUGCAUGCUUAGUUGAUGUGAUGUCGGUUCGUCAGUGCACUUCCAUGGCUCCUUGACCACGAUCGGUGUCAUUGAGUUGCCCUCGUUGACAAACUGUGGAUGUAGGUUACAACCUAUGUCUUCGGUGUGACAGGACCCCUGUGAAUGCAGGUCGCAGUUGUCAGUGGGAAGUAAUUCAGUGGACCGGGACAGCGGCCUUGGUUCCCCUUUCAUGCUCUGCUAGAUGGUUUUGUGUAUGGUUAUCGUGUGCCUGUGCAAACAGGCCCGUUAACUACACAUUGUUAUCUAGUAGAGUAUUGUUUAGGGAACCUUCUCAUGGGCCAAAGUCAGUGGUGUGUGUAAACUUUCUACCCGA
rnacentral:rRNA from 1 species